AUGAUACAUAUUUGAGAAGAUUUGAUUUUUAUUUUUAACAAUUAAUGUAUAUCUUAAAAAAGAUGUCAAUUCACUUUAAAAAGAUGCCAAUUCACUUAAUUUAAAUUAUAACAAUGUAAGUUGUGCAUUAUUUUUUAUUUGCAUAUAAGACAUAGUGUUAUAGCAUUUUCAUGCAUUUUACUAUAUAAUCUUCGAAUAUCCAGUUUUAUUUAUUUAUUUAUUAUUAUUUUAUUAUUGUAAUAGAUAUUUAUUAUAUUAUAUUAUGAUUUAUAAUUAUUAAAUUGUAAUAUAUGUAUAAAAAUUUUCACACGUACUUUCAUAUAUAUAUAUAUAUAUACAUAUAUACAUCAUUUAAUCACCAAUAUUUAAAUAUUACUUAAUAUUUUAUGAUCAAAUAAAGAUUUAUUAGACUAACAAAAAUGUUUUGAGAUUCUACUUAUUGUUGGAAACAUGCUAUAAUUUUUUAAAAAAUAAGAUAUUACUUUUCUUUUGUAUAAAUAAUUUCUAAUAACUCUAAAUUUGAUCUACAAUUAUAAGGCAAAAUUUAAAUAUCUUAUAGAUAACCUUGGUUGGAAUAAUAAAGCCUUUAUGACUUGAUUUCUAUAUGGCUUAACAAACAUUAUGAAAAUUUUAUUGAUUACAAUGAUACAAGUCCAUAAUUUGGAAGAACUCAUGUCUUAAGCUAUCACUUGCAAUAACAACUUAUUUGAAUUGCAACAAGAAAAACAAUGGAGUUGUAGUAAUGUUUAUCAAAAUAUAAUUUUUACUCUUUCAAGAAGUAUUUAACAAAUCCUAAAAUUAUGCAAAUCAAUGCAACUUAAUUUAAGCCACUCAUUGAUCAAGAAAAGAAGCAUAAAAGUGAACUUAAUUUAUGUGUGUAUUGUAAAAAACGUGGUUAUAAGAUGGAAAUUGUUUUGAGAAACUCGAGCGCAUAGAGUAGAUAAAAAAUCCAACUACAUCACUAAAUGCUUUGUAGGAAAAUAAAGACUGUUUAGCUAUAGUAGAGGCCAUAUAAUUGGAUACUUCUAUUUUUAAGUCAAAAAAGAUCCUAUACUAUUAGUUAGUUUUUUAGUUUUUUUUUAAUACCUAUUUUUUAGAUAUUCAAAAACUUAUGGUCUAUGCUUUACUACAUUGAAGAUCUUAUGUUUAAUUUUUUGAUGAAGAAUUUUCAAAAAUAAGUUUCCUAAAGUCAAAAAAAACUUAGAUUGUCCAUGUUGAAGUCAUAGAUGGUUGAUCCUUAUCUUUAGGAGAUGUUAUUCAUAAAACCACUCCAUUAGAGGUAACAUCAAAAAAUUAUAGUAGCCAAGUAAUAUUCAAUAUUAUUAACUUUCUAUCCAAUUAUUAGGACUCUCUUAGGUCAAAAGACAUAAUCUGCAUAUAGAUUGGAUAUAUAAUAAAAUAAAAAUUAUAUAGUAGAACCUCUUCCUACUAAACUUGGUAAAGGAUCUCAAACACAUCAUAGAUUCAAGUUCACAAAGCCUUUUUUUUUGGAAUAAGAAUAUCCAUUACUAUUGAUAUUUGGAUUAUUAGAUUAAUUAGAUAAAGCAAAGAUCUACACUAAAAUAGAUCUAUAGGAAGCUUAC
rnacentral:lncRNA from 1 species